rnacentral:rRNA from 1 species
UAGGGAAUCUUCGGCAAUGGGGGGAACCCUGACCGAGCAACGCCGCGUGAGUGAAGAAGGUUUUCGGAUCGUAAAGCUCUGUUGUUAAGGAAGAACGAGUGUGAGAAUGGAAAGUUCAUGCUGUGACGGUACUUAACCAGAAAGGGACGGCUAACUACGUGCCAGCAGCCGCGGUAAUACGUAAGGUCCGAGCGUUGUCCGGAAUCAUUGGGCGUAAAGGGUACGUAGGCGGAUAAGCAAGAUAGAAGUGAAAUCCUAUAGCUCAACUAUAGUAAGCUUUUAAAACUGCUCAUCUUGAGGUAUGGAAGGGAAAGUGGAAUUCCUAGUGUAGCGGUGAAAUGCGCAGAUAUUAGGAGGAAUACCGGUGGCGAAGGCGACUUUCUGGCCAUAUACUGACGCUGAGGUACGAAAGCGUGGGUAGCAAACAGG